UUGGAUGUAGGGCCUUCAUCAGGGGAGGGGGGGGGGAGAUCAAGAUGGGUCCCUACGGGAGGCAGCAGUGGGGAAUCCUACCGGGAGGCAGCAGUGGGGAAUCUUAGACAAUGGGCGCAAGCCUGAUCUAGCGAUGCCGCGUGAGUGAUGAAGGCCUUAGGGUCGUAAAGCUCUUUCGCCUGUGAAGAUAAUGACGGUAGCAGGUAAAGAAACCCCGGCUAACUCCGUGCCAGCAGCCGCGGUAAUACGGAGGGGGUUAGCGUUGUUCGGAAUUACUGGGCGUAAAGCGCACGUAGGCGGACUAGUCAGUCAGAGGUGAAAUCCCAGGGCUCAACCCUGGAACUGCCUUUGAUACUGCUAGUCUUGAGUUCGAGAGAGGUAAGUGGAAUUCCGAGUGUAGAGGUGAAAUUCGUAGAUAUUCGGAGGAACACCAGUGGCGAAGGCGGCUUACUGGCUCGAUACUGACGCUGAGGUGCGAAAGUGUGGGGAGCAAACAGGAUUAGAUACCCUGGUAGUCCACACCGUAAACGAUGAAUGCCAGACGUCGGGUAGCAUGCUAUUCGGUGUCACACCUAACGGAUUAAGCAUU
rnacentral:rRNA from 1 species